rnacentral:rRNA from 1 species
AGCGAACGCUGGCGGCAGGCCUAACACAUGCAAGUCGAACGAAGUCUUCGGACUUAGUGGCGGACGGGUGAGUGACACGUGGGAACGUGCCUUUAGGUUCGGAAUAACUCAGGGAAACUUGUGCUAAUACCGAAUGUGCUCUUCGGGGGAAAGAUUUAUCGCCUUUAGAGCGGCCCGCGUCUGAUUAGCUAGUUGGUGAGGUAAAGGCCCACCAAGGCGACGAUCAGUAGCUGGUCUGAGAGGAUGAUCAGCCACAUUGGGACUGAGACACGGCCCAAACUCCUACGGGAGGCAGCAGUGGGGAAUCUUGCGCAAUGGGCGAAAGCCUGACGCAGCCAUGCCGCGUGAAUGAUGAAGGUCUUAGGAUUGUAAAAUUCUUUCACCGGGGACGAUAAUGACGGUACCCGGAGAAGAAGCCCCGGCUAACUUCGUGCCAGCCGCCGCCGUAA